CUCAACUACCAAGAAUUUAUGCCUUGGGCAUGCGUGGGAGGAAGGAGAAGUCAGCACCUCCAAUCUUCAAAGGCAACCAAACAUCAAAAUACUGGGGGUCUACGAGCCGGAAACAAAUACAGCAGCAACUCGAACUCGCCGCCGUGGGACCUCAUCUGGCUCACCAUGCGAGUGGCCCGGCCGGUCCGUCAACCUGCCGUCGAAACCGCCCCAGUCUCGGUCACCUCGGCCUCGCAUUCGAAUAUGGCGAAUCCUAACCAGUUGAGUGCGUAACGCGUAUCACGCCCGUCGUUGCUGCCUAUGGAUCCGCGCACUGUGGCCCACUGGGUCCCAGCCAAAGGUCCACUUAAUUUCAGUUCCCACCGCUAUACGGGUGAAAUACAGUCAAAUCGUACCUGUGCAAAUCCCAUACGGCCGUACGUAAGCCACCCGUGAGACCCGUAGCUACACCACCACCACCACCCAUCGCCACCAUCACUCCAUCGGAUUUCAAAUUUUGAAUCCCCUCAGCCAGAUUCUGCUUCUCUCCCCGGUGACCCACUUGCGACGCCCCAUCGCACAAACGCCGUCGGGACUGUCGUCGCCGGUCUCAAGUUCGCCGCCAUCCAAAACAAUCAAUCCUCAUGGGGAAUCUCUCACAGAUCUGUUAUUCAGCUUUCGCUCCGCUCCCUUCGAUCCGGUCUACGUUCCAGUCUAGGGAACGCCAGAGGAAGAUGAAUGUUGGUCGCCAACAAGGCACUCCGGUGCUCCUUCAUCGUUAGAGGAUUGGGUUCCUUCCCCGUCCAGCGACGGACAAGUGAAGUGCCUGAGUCAAAUUCAGAUGUCUCGUCUACUCUGUGGAUUGCAAGGUACAGUUCUUGUUACUACUCGAUUUUUUCCAAUCUAGGUGGAUUCCCAGUACAGAUUUAGGGGGGCUUAUUUUCUUCUAUUAUUGGGCCCGCUGCCCCGGAUGUCUAAUAUCGAGUUAGGAAAUUUUCGUGAUUUGGAGUUUGUCGUUAAACCAACAGACCAGUCAAGAGUUUGAUUCUCUUGCAAGAGCUUACAACUUAUACUCUUCAGAAAAAAGGAUUUGGAAUUAAGUACGGUGAAUGUGGACGAAACGUCCACAAAUGCAAGCCUGCCCAGAACAUAAUUUGCGGAUGCGCGUGAGUUAGUUUCAUACGACAUCGACAGUCACAGAGAACCGUCCUCUGAAUCGCAACGCACUCCAGCUCCGUGGUAGGCAAGGUACUAUCUCGCCGUCGCAUUCCUGGUUGUCGUCGUGAAUGCCUUCUUUCUCCCCGCAAAUAGAUGUGUCACAUUCAGUGAACUAGGCGUGUGCUUUCAGUAAAAUAGUUGGCUGGACCCAAAUUUUUCAAGCUUUGUCAGUUCGAAAUUAGCAUGGUCACAGUAAUUAAGAAAAUAGUUGGCUGGCCGGUGUUGUAUGUAAAAUAAUAGUAUGGAUUAAGAUUAUUUAAGCAUUGUCAGUUGAAUCUUAUCAUUGGCAUUGACAUGUAAAUUAAGAAAAUUUUAAUCGUGAUCAGUUAUUGCUGUCAAAAGUUUGAUACUUCUGAGCAGAUUGUUGUUAUUGCGGAAUAGUCAGAUAAAAUUCAUGAUCAUUGGCAGCAACAUACGAAUUUGCAUAGCAUGUGCCUGUUAUGUUACAAAAUCUGACGUUUAUCACUGAUCAUAAAUCUAUAGUUUGCAAAUGGUACAGGAUUCGUAUCUCUAAUCAUGUCCAGGAAUCAUUCAACUAGGCUCUUGGUUACAGUCAAACAUAUACAGUGAGACAUUGACAUGUAAGCAUUUAUAUAAUCAAUUUGAUGUAGGCAUAUAUAUAGUCAUUUAACUAGGCUCUUGGUUACAGUCAAAUUGAUGUAGACAUUGACAUGUACAGUAAGAUAAAUUUAAGAGCAUCCAGGAGCUCUCCCAUCUAUGUGUUCAUUUUAUCUUGCUUUUUUGCCACCUCAAUCUAGGCCAUGAUGAUGCGUUGAUUUGCUGUCGUAUUUCUCUGGUGCCCUCUAUCUGAACUAUAUUUUCUUCCUUCUUCCUUUUUGUCCAGUGAGAUGCCCUGACGAGAGGAUUCUGUUUGUUGGUAAAUCCGUAAAUGUUCCUGUUAAUUUUCUGAAUAAAUAUCUCAUCUCUGUUUUGCUACAGGUCAUAUCCAUGUGCUGGAGACAAUGGGUUUAAGAAAGCCCCCGUCUUGCUGCUGCUCAAGCAAACAGUGCGCCUGCCGGAGCUGUUGGAAGAGCACCUGACCAAGCCCGUUCUCCCUUCUCUAUUCUUCUUUGUCUUUUUUGUGUGUAUUUUGCUCUUUGUUUUGAUUUGUAUGGUUCUGAAUUAAAGGAGAGCUUUUUUGGUUGUAGAUCAUGAGGCUAUGCCUUGGUUCCAUGUGCUUAUGCCGAUCUGAACUUUGUUCCUGUUCAGAAGUGAAUAAUUGUUUCGAAUUCACGAUAUUGUCCAUGUUCAAAAAAAAUCAGAUAGUGAACAUUACAAGAAUGGUGAAUGGUGAUUA